rnacentral:tmRNA from 1 species
GGGGACGCGUGGUUUCGACAGGGAGAUCACCGCUCGAUUGCGGGUCGUGGCGCCGUGCACCACGUAAAAAGCGGCAAAAAAUAAACGGCGAACGUGAAUUCGCUCUCGCCGCCUAAGGGCAGCGACUUUCGACCUACCCCCCGUCUGACGGGUUAGGAUCGAGAGAUGAAAAGUCGGACUGCGUUGUUUGGGUAGCUAGUGACAAACAACUAAGGCUCCACUAGCUGGUCGCCGCAUUUGCUACGCCGACGGAGCGGGUGCGGCGAUGAGAAACCCACCGACGGCUACACUCGUAGAAGUCAAACCGGGAACCUUUCUGGACGGGGAGUUCGACUCUCCCCCGUCUCCACCA